CGAUAGUGAACAAGUACCGUGAGGGAAAGGUGAAAAGAACCCCGGGAGGGGAGUGAAAUAGAAUACUGAAACCAUGUGCUUACAAGAAGUUCGAGCCCGUUAAUGGGUGAGAGCGUGCCUUUUGCAGAAUGAGCCGGCGAGUUAUGGUAUUGUGCAAGGUUAAGUGGAAAACACGGAGCCGAAGCGAAAGCGAGUCUUAAUAGGGCGAUUUAGUACAAUGCUGUAGACCCGAAACCGAGUGAUCUAGCCAUGAGCAGGCUGAAGUAAGGGUGAUACCUUAUGGAGGGCCGAACCAGGACACGUUGUAAAGUGUUUGGAUGACUUGUGGCUAGCGGUGAAAUUCCAAUCGAACUCGGAGAUAGCUGGUUCUCCCCGAAAUAGGUUUAGGCCUAGCCUUAUAUGAUGCUACCCGGAGGUAGAGCACUGAAUGUGGAAUGGCGGCGUCUAGCUGUACUGACUGCAAUCAAUCUCCGAAUGCCGGGAUAGUUAAUAUAGGAGUCAGUGUGUGGGUGAUAACGUUCAUACGCGAGAGAAAAUCAAUUCAGACCGUCAGCUAAGGUCCCUAAAUGUAUGUUAAGUGGGAAAGGAUGUAGAAUUGCACUAACAGCUAGGAGGUUGGCUCAGAAGCAGCCAUCCUUUAAAGAGUGCGUAAUAGCUCACUAGUCGAGUGGUUCUGCGCCGAAAAUGUACCGGGGCUUAAACAUACUACCGAAGCUACGGGUUUGUACUUAUGUACAAGCGGUAGGGGAGCGUUCUAAGGGCGCUGAAGAUAGAUCGUGAGGACUAUUGGAGCGCUUAGAAGUGAGAAUGCCGGUGUGAGUAACGUAAGGAAGGUGAGAAUCCUUCCCACCGAUCGAGCAAGGUUUCCAGGGUAAAGUUCGUCUACCCUGGGUUAGUCAGGACCUAAGGCGAGGCUGAAAAGCGUAGUCGAUGGACAACAGGUUUAUAUUCCUGUACCGUCUAUAUAACUGAUGGAGUGACGGAGAAAGCUAGGAAGGGCCAGUUAUUGGAUUCUGGUCUAAGUGCGUAGGCUAAUGCGUAGGAAAAUCCGCGACAUUGUUAAAGCCGAAACAUGAUGGCGACGGUUCCCACGGGAACUUAAGUCUUCUGACGCUAUGCUUCCAAGAAAAACUUCUAAAGAUAUUGUAUAGACGCCUGUACCAAGAACCAACACAGGUGCUCAAGGAGAGAAUCCUAAGGUGAGCGAGAGAACUAUGGUCAAGGAACUCGGCAAAAUGACCCCGUAACUUCGGAAUAAGGGGAGGUCACUUUAUGUGACCCGCAGUGAAUUGUCCCAGGCAACUGUUUACCAAAAACACAGGUCUCUGCUAAAGCGUAAGCUGAUGUAUAGGGGCUGACGCCUGCCCAGUGCUGGAAGGUUAAGAGGAGAUGUUAGUUGGACGCAAGUCGAUAACAACGAAGCUUCGAAUUGAAGCCCCAGUGAACGGCGGCCGUAACUAUAACGGUCCUAAGGUAGCGAAAUUCCUUGUCAGGUAAGUUCUGACCCGCACGA
rnacentral:rRNA from 1 species